rnacentral:misc_RNA from 1 species
ACACCUCAACUCUCAUGGCUUGCCAUGACGAGCUUGGACUCUGGGGGUCUUGCUGGCCUUGUGGUCAGCUCCUCUCAAAUGAAUCAGCUUGCCAGUGUUUGGUGGCAUCACAGGUGUGAUAACUAUCUACGCUUGUGGUUUUCCACCAGGUAACCUUCAGUGAUGGAGGUUCGCUGGUGCUCAUAAAAGUCUCUCCUCAGUGAGGACAGCUCUUUGAAC